rnacentral:rRNA from 1 species
GUACCUAAUCAGAAAGCCACGGCUAACUACGUGCCAGCAGCCGCGGUAAUACGUAGGUGGCAAGCGUUAUCCGGAAUUAUUGGGCGUAAAGCGCGCGUAGGCGGUUUUUUAAGUCUGAUGUGAAAGCCCACGGCUCAACCGUGGAGGGUCAUUGGAAACUGGAAAACUUGAGUGCAGAAGAGGAAAGUGGAAUUCCAUGUGUAGCGGUGAAAUGCGCAGAGAUAUGGAGGAACACCAGUGGCGAAGGCGACUUUCUGGUCUGUAACUGACGCUGAUGUGCGAAAGCGUGGGGAUCAAACAGGAUUAGAUACCCUGGUAGUCCACGCCGUAAACGAUGAGUGCUAAGUGUUAGGGGGUUUCCGCCCCUUAGUGCUGCAGCUAACGCAUUAAGCACUCCGCCUGGGGAGUACGACCGCAAG